GCUGGGCGUAGUGGCGGGCGCCUGUAAUCCCAGCUACUCGGGAGGCUGAGGCAGGAGAAUCGCUUGAACCCGGGAGGCGGAGGUUGCAGUGAACCAAGAUCGCGCUACUGCACUCCAGCCUGGGCAACAGAGUGAGAUUCUGUCUCAA
rnacentral:SRP_RNA from 1 species